rnacentral:rRNA from 1 species
UUUAUAGUUAAUUUAGUUUUAUUCAACAUUCCGUAAUACAAAUUAAUACAACUGGUCCUUUCGUACUAAAUCAUAAAUUACAUAGAAAGAUAGAAACCAACCUGGCUCACGCCGGUCUGAACUCAAAUCAUGUAAAAUCCACAGUCGAACAGACUAAAAAUUAAGCUUCUACACCAAAAUUUUAUUUUAAUUCAACAUCGAGGUCAUAAUCUUUUUUAUUAAUAAGAUCUUUUAAAAAAAAUUAUGCUGUUACCCCUAAGGUAAUUUUAUCUUUUUUUCUAAAAUUUUAGGAUCCUUUAACCAUUCAUCAAUGAAAAUUAUGUAAAAGUUUAUUUACUAUCACCCCAACAAAAAAAUAGAAAUUCCCAUACCUACUUUUAAAUUCUAUAGGGUCUUAUCGUCCCUCCCAAAAACCUAUGUAUUUUUACAUAAACUGUAAAUUAAAAUUUCAUAUAACUAAAAAAGUUAAUAUUCUGUUCAACCAUUCAUACAAGCCCCCAAUCAAAAGACUAAUGAUUAUGCUACCUUUGUACAGUCAAAAUACUGCAGCUAUUCACUAAAGCAUUGAGCAGGUUAAACUAAAAACAUUUUCCUCCCAGAAAUGUUUUUGUUAAACAGUCAAAAAUUCAUCUUGCCGAAUUCUUAAGCUAUAUUUUGUGAUUCUACUAAUUUAAUCAUUAUUAUCUUAAUAUUUUAACUUUAUCAAGUAACUUCACCUCCCUUUAAAGUUACUAUUAAAUUAUUAAAAAAAUUAAGUUAAUUUUUGAAUACUAAAAAAAUUGAUAAUUUUAAACUUAUAAAAUUAUUACCCCCAAUAAAACUAAAAUUUAAAUCUUAAGAUUAUCCCUAAGAAUACUUUUUAUUUUAACAAAAAAUCGCAUAAACAAAACUAAUUCAAUUAAUCAAAAAGUAACUAGAUAAAAAAAAUCUAGAUUUUUUUCAAAACUAAAUAAUUAUUAAACCCAAUAGUGAAACAUAAGAAUUUUAACUAUUUAAAUCUUUCCUUGUCGAGAACCCUCUCUUAAAUAAAAUUAUAAAUAAACCCUGAUACAAAAGGUACAAUAAAUGAAUUUUUUAUUAAUUUUUAUAAUAUAGCCUCCCUCUACAAAAUAAAAAUUAAUAUUCUUCACUUUUCCCUCUAUUAAACUAAAAAAAA